GAUAAACGCUGGCGACGUGCCUAAUACAUGCAAGUCGAGCGAACAGAUAAGGAGCUUGCUCCUUUGACGUUAGCGGCGGACGGGUGAGUAACACGUGGGUAACCUACCUAUAAGACUGGGAUAACUUCGGGAAACCGGAGCUAAUACCGGAUAACAUUUGGAACCGCAUGGUUCUAAAGUGAAAGAUGGUUUUGCUAUCACUUAUAGAUGGACCCGCGCCGUAUUAGCUAGUUGGUAAGGUAACGGCUUACCAAGGCGACGAUACGUAGCCGACCUGAGAGGGUGAUCGGCCACACUGGAACUGAGACACGGUCCAGACUCCUACGGGAGGCAGCAGUAGGGAAUCUUCCGCAAUGGGCGAAAGCCUGACGGAGCAACGCCGCGUGAGUGAUGAAGGGUUUCGGCUCGUAAAACUCUGUUAUUAGGGAAGAACAAAUGUGUAAGUAACUGUGCACGUCUUGACGGUACCUAAUCAGAAAGCCACGGCUAACUACGUGCCAGCCGCCGCCGUAA
rnacentral:rRNA from 1 species